AUGAAAUCCGGUUGAUCCUGCCGGAGGCGACCGCUAUUGGAGUUCGAUUAAGACAUGCGAGUCAGAGCACUAGCUCGGCAUACCGCUCAGUAACACGUGGGUAACCUGCCCUAUUGUUUCGAAUAACCUCGGGAAACUGAGAACAACACGAGAUAGUCCACUACGCCUGGAACGGUGAGUGGAUAAAGAUAGGAUGGGCCUGCGGCGUAUCAGGUCGUAGGGGGUGUAACGGACCUCCUAGCCAUCGACGCGUACGGGUGUUGGGAGACAUAGCCCGGAGAUGGAUUCUGAGACACGAAUCCAGGCCCUACGGGGCGCAGCAGUUACGAAAACUUGGCAAUGCGGGAAACCGUGACCAGGGAACUCCAAGUGGCUGUCCUUUUGGGCAGUCUUUUCUUGACUCUAAAACGGUCUUGGAAUAAGGGGUGGGUAAGGACGGUGCCAGCCGCCGCGGUAAUACCGGCGCCUCAAGUGGUCGUCGCUUUUAUUGGGCCUAAAACGUCCGUAGCCGGUUUGGUACAUUCGUGGGUAAAUCAGCUCGCUCAACGAGUUGAAUUCUGCGAGGACGGCCAGACUAGGGACCGGGAGAGGUGUGGGGAACUCUCAGGGUAGGGGUAAAAUCCUGUCAUCCUGAGAGGACCACCUGUUGCGAAGGCGCCACACUAGAACGGAUCCGACGGUCAGGGACGAAGCCUAGGGGCACGA
rnacentral:rRNA from 1 species